CUGACCCACCAGCUCCUGCUAGGUUUGGCCUGGUCAACGCCAGAUCACUUGGUAAUAAAACAUGUAUCCUUAAGGACUUCUUCAUAUCUCGGGAGCUGUACUUCCUCUUUAUCUCCGAGACCUGACUGAGUGCUGCGGACUGCAGAGCUGUGGGUGUGAAGACAGACAGAGGGAGUGACAACUAAAGAGAAGGUGGUGUUUGUGGUAAUUUUGGAGAAGAGGGGCAACAUUCAGAUUCAUCACAGGCGCUCACCUCGCCUCAACCACAUGAGUUUUACAGUGAACUUCAACCGCAGGGUCAAUGAACGACUUUAACAGCCAUGAUCAUGGACGAACCUCCGCGGACUCCCAGGAUGGGGAUAUGGGUCUGGGCCGAAAUGAAGUCCAGGAUCUGGGCGAUGGCCUCCUGGGUCCGUCUCAUUCAUGGUCAGGAUCUCUACGCUGGGCGCCAUGUGUAGAAAGUCUUCCUUCUCCCGAGCACCGGCCAGUGCCAUCUCACUGGAGUUGCCCACCAGGACAACAGCGAUGCUUAGGCCACGCAGGAUGUUG